AAUGAACGCUGGCGGCGCGCCUAAUACAUGCAAGUCGAGCGAGAAGACGUAGCAAUACGUUUGUAAAGCGGCGAACGGGUGAGGAAUACAUGGGUAACCUACCCUAGAGUGGGGAAUAACUAGCCGAAAGGUUAGCUAAUACCGCGUACGCUCCUUGGACUUCGGUUCAGGGAGGAAAGCGAUGCCGAGGGUAUCGCGCUCUUGGAUGGGCUCAUGUCCUAUCAGCUUGGGUGAGGUAACGGCUCACCAAGGCUUCGACGGGUAGCUGGUCUGAGAGGACGAUCAGCCACACUGGGCACUGCGACACGGGCCAGACUCCUACGGGAGGCAGCAGUAAGGAAUAUUGCGCAAUGGGCG
rnacentral:rRNA from 1 species